CGUAAAAAGACAAUUACGGUCACAUUUUGCGGAUAUGCCAUCGAUCAUUUUGAUUACCUUGAAGGAACAAUUAGAAGCAAAAACUUCCUCUACCACCCGUAGUCUUUAGUAUUGUAGAAAAAAUAACAAGAACUGAAGGUUGAUGAAAUCAAAAAGGAAAUUGCGUUAAAUUAUCAAAAGGAAGAGAUGACAACUGGUAAUAAAUAUUCAGAGGAAGUGAACGGCAGGACAUACAAGCGCCCAUUUAAUCAAGUUAUCAAAACUAUUAACCUUGUUGUUAUUUUUUCUCUGCUACUCUAAAAACGUGAUUUUGCUUCCAAAGAAGGUGUACACGAUGGGGAAUUUCUAGAGUUAAGCAGUUAGGUGCUGUUAUAAUGAAUGGAACAGACCAAUAUGCAAUAAAAGCUGAACUCGAAGAGAGCCCAAUUACUUUAUCUGACAAAGUUCCAAGUGUUCAUUUAACGACAAAUGGCUAGAGUCCGGUGCUUGGUGUCUUUGACUGUUCUGGUAGUCUUGUUGUGCUUUAUUCAACAAGCGCGGGGAUUUGUUGGGGGCAUCACCGUCCCACAGCAUGGGAAGCGUAGCAAAGAAACGUUACCAAAGAGGGCCAUCUUGAACUACUGCUUAACAGUGGGGGCCUGGUGCCAAGUAAAUCCUGACGCCCGUGAAUGUCGUCACUUGGAAGAGACAAUAGUCUCUACAAAUAGACAAUAGUCUCUACAAAUUUUCCGCACCUUCUUUGGGAUGAUAUUAUUAUAUAUUGCAGACUUAUAAUAUAUGUAAUAGUAUACAGCUUUGGGCAAAUCAUUUUCGAUAAUAUAAAAUUAAAUCAUUAAUGAGA